GACGAACGCUGGCGGCGUGCUUAACACAUGCAAGUCGAGCGGUAAGGCCCUUCGGGGUACCCGAGCGGCGAACGGGUGAGUAACACGUGAGUAAUCUGCCCAUCACUUCGGGAUAACUCCGGGAAACCGGUGCUAAUACCGAAUAUGACCACUUCAGGCAUCUGAUGGUGGUGGAAAGUUCCGGCGGUGAUGGAUGAGCUCGCGGCCUAUCAGCUUGUUGGUGGGGUAGUGGCUUACCAAGGCUUCGACGGGUAGCCGGCCUGAGAGGGUGACCGGCCACACUGGGACUGAGACACGGCCCAGACUCCUACGGGAGGCAGCAGUGGGGAAUAUUGGACAAUGGGCGAAAGCCUGAUCCAGCAACGCCGCGUGAGGGAUGACGGCCUUCGGGUUGUAAACCUCUUUCAGCAGGGACGAAGCGCAAGUGACGGUACCUGCAGAAGAAGCACCGGCCAACUACGUG
rnacentral:rRNA from 1 species